rnacentral:rRNA from 1 species
UACGGAGGAUGCGAGCGUUAUCCGGAUUUAUUGGGUUUAAAGGGUGCGUAGGCGGACUGUCAAGUCAGCGGCAAAAUUGAGAGGCUCAACCUCUUCCCGCCGUUGAAACUGGUGGUCUUGAGUGGAUGAGAAGUACGCGGAAUGCGUGGUGUAGCGGUGAAAUGCAUAGAUAUCACGCAGAACUCCGAUUGCGAAGGCAGCGUACCGGCAUCCAACUGACGCUGAGGCACGAAAGCGUGGGGAUCAAACAGG